rnacentral:piRNA from 1 species
UAAUUUUUUUGUAUUGGGAGU